UACGUAGGGAGCAAGCGUUGUCCGGAAUCAUUGGGCGUAAAGAGCGUGUAGGCGGCCCGGUAAGUCCGCUGUGAAAGUCCAGGGCUCAACCCUGGGAUGCCGGUGGAUACUGUCGGGCUCGAGUCCGGAAGAGGAGUGUGGAAUUCCUGGUGUAGCAGUGAAAUGCGCAGAUAUCAGGAGGAACACCAAUGGCGAAGGCAGCACUCUGGGACGUGACUGACGCUGAGACGCGAAAGCGUGGGGAGCAAACAGG
rnacentral:rRNA from 1 species